rnacentral:rRNA from 1 species
CCUACGGGAGGCAGCAGUGGGGAAUAUUGCACAAUGGGGGAAACCCUGAUGCAGCGACGCCGCGGGAGUGAAGAAGUAUCUCGGUACGUAAAGCUCUAUCAGCAGGGAAGAAAAUGACGGUACCUGACUAAGAAGCCACGGCUAACUACGUGCCAGCAGCCGCGGUAAUACGUAGGGGGCAAGCGUUAGCCGGAUUUACUGGGGGUAAAGGGAGCGUAGAAGGCAGCACAAGUCUGGAGUGAAAUCCCGGGGCUUAACCCCGGAACUGCUUUGGAAACUGUGCGGCUGGAGUGCAGGAGGGGUAAGCGGAAUUCCUAGUGUAGCGGUGAAAUGCGUAGAUAUUAGGAGGAACACCGGUGGCGAAGGCGGCUUACUGGACUGUAACUGACGUUGAGGCUCGAAAGCGUUGGGAGCAAACAGGAUUAGAUACCCCAGUAGUC